CCUACUCCAAAACAACCACCAACAGUGGGACCGAGCUCAGCAGCAUCACCAACAGGAACCACAUCUGAUGAACAUUUCACUUCAGGUUCCCCUGUGAUCAUCAUCACUGUGUGUGUCUGUGUGGCUCUGCUGCUGAUUGGAGGAUCAGCACUGAUCUAUAAACUGAGACGCGACAAGCAACAAGGUUCCUCCUCCAUCAGCAGAAGAUCAGG